rnacentral:rRNA from 1 species
CAGUCGCCGCGGUAAUACGUAGGGUGCAAGCGUUAAUCGGAAUUACUGGGCGUAAAGCGUGCGCAGGCGGUUAUAUAAGACAGAUGUGAAAUCCCCGGGCUCAACCUGGGAACUGCAUUUGUGACUGUAUAGCUAGAGUACGGCAGAGGGGGAUGGAAUUCCGCGUGUAGCAGUGAAAUGCGUAGAUAUGCGGAGGAACACCGAUGGCGAAGGCAAUCCCCUGGGCCUGUACUGACGCUCAUGCACAAAAGCGUGGGGAGCAAACAGGAUUAGAUACCCGAGUAGUCCCUGUCUCUUAUAA